GAUGAACGCUGGCGGCGUGCCUAAUACAUGCAAGUCGAGCGAACAGACGAGGAGCUUGCUCCUCUAACGUUAGCGGCGGACGGGUGAGUAACACGUGGAUAACCUACCUAUAAGACUGGGAUAACUUCGGGAAACCGGAGCUAAUACCGGAUAAUAUAUUGAACCGCAUGGUUCAAUAGUGAAAGACGGUUUUGCUGUCACUUAUAGAUGGAUCCGCGCCGCAUUAGCUAGUUGGUAAGGUAACGGCUUACCAAGGCAACGAUGCGUAGCCGACCUGAGAGGGUGAUAGGCCACACUGGAACUGAGACACGGUCCAGACUCCUACGGGAGGCAGCAGUAGGGAAUCUUCCGCAAUGGGCGAAAGCCUGACGGAGCAACGCCGCGUGAGUGAUGAAGGUCUUCGGAUCGUAAAACUCUGUUAUUAGGGAAGAACAAAUGUGUAAGUAACUAUGCACGUCUUGACGGUACCUAAUCAGAAAGCCACGGCUAACUACGUG
rnacentral:rRNA from 1 species